UACAGAGGCCCCAAGCGUUACUGAGAAUCACUGGGCGUAAAGGGUGCGUAGGUGGUGAGGUAAGUCGGAUGUGAAAUCUCCGGGCUCAACCCGGAAAUGGCAUUGGAAACUACCUUGCUGGAGGAUUUGAGGGGGGAUUGGAAUACUUGGUGUAGCAGUGAAAUGCGUAGAUAUCAAGUGGAACACCAGUGGCGAAGGCGAACCCCUGGAAAAUACCUGACACUGAGGCACGAAAGCUAGGGGAGCAAACAGG
rnacentral:rRNA from 1 species